CACAGAGUUAGCCGGGGCUUCUUCCUCGAGUCCUGUCAUGAUCGUGCACUCGACGAAAGCGCUUUACAAGCGGCAUUGCCCUUCUUCACUCACGCGAUAUUGCUAGAUCGGGCUUUCGCCCAUUGUCCAAGACUUCCCCACUGCUCGCCCCUCGUGGGAGUCCGGGCCGUGUCUCAGUCCCAGUGUGGUUGAUCAUACCAAAAAGACCAGCUAAGCAUCAUUGGCUUGGUCAGUCCUUUACCUGACCAACUACCUAAUACUACGCAGGCUCAUCAAACAACGCUUUUGAGUCUUUCUUCAGGAUUUGGCUGAACUUGUUCGGCAGAUUCACAGUGCGUUAU
rnacentral:rRNA from 1 species